UACAGAGGGUGCGAGCGUUAAUCGGAAUUACUGGGCGUAAAGCGCGCGUAGGUGGCUAUGCAAGUCGGAUGUGAAAUCCCCGGGCUCAACCUGGGAACUGCAUUCGAGACUGCAUUUGCUCGAGUAAUGGGAGAGGGAAGUGGAAUUUCCGGUGUAGCGGUGAAAUGCGUAGAUAUCGGAAGGAACACCAGUGGCGAAGGCGACAUCUGGCUCAUUACUGACGUGAGGCGCGAAAGCGUGGGGAGCAA
rnacentral:rRNA from 1 species